rfam:Picea glauca, whole genome shotgun sequence.
AUCUGCCUGGCUCCCUUUAUGCCAUCUGCGUUGCUUAUUAAGUGCAGGAUAUGCCUCACAGUUGGCGUAAACGGAGCCAAGCAGGA